rnacentral:rRNA from 1 species
GUGGGGAAUCUUGCGCAAUGGGCGAAAGCCUGACGCAGCCAUGCCGCGUGAAUGAUGAAGGUCUUAGGAUUGUAAAAUUCUUUCACCGGGGACGAUAAUGACGGUACCCGGAGAAGAAGCUCCGGCUAACUUCGUGCCAGCAGCCGCGGUAAUACGAAGGGGGCUAGCGUUGCUCGGAAUUACUGGGCGUAAAGGGCGCGUAGGCGGACAGCUUAGUCAGAGGUGAAAGCCCAGGGCUCAACCUUGGAAUUGCCUUUGAUACUGGCUGUCUUGAGUUUGGGAGAGGUGAGUGGAACUCCGAGUGUAGAGGUGAAAUUCGUAGAUAUUCGGAAGAACACCAGUGGCGAAGGCGACUCACUGGCGCAAUACUGACGCUGAGGCGCGAAAGCGUGGGGAGCAAACAGGAUUAGAUACCCCGGUAGUCC